rnacentral:rRNA from 1 species
GCCCUUCGGGGUACACGAGUGGCGAACGGGUGAGUAACACGUGGGUGAUCUGCCCUGCACUCUGGGACAAGCCCUGGAAACGGGGUCUAAUACCGGAUACUGAUCUACUUGGGCAUCCAAGUGGUUCGAAAGCUCCGGCGGUGCAGGAUGAGCCCGCGGCCUAUCAGCUUGUUGGUGAGGUAACGGCUCACCAAGGCGACGACGGGUAGCCGGCCUGAGAGGGCGACCGGCCACACUGGGACUGAGACACGGCCCAGACUCCUACGGGAGGCAGCAGUGGGGAAUAUUGCACAAUGGGCGAAAGCCUGAUGCAGCGACGCCGCGUGAGGGAUGACGGCCUUCGGGUUGUAAACCUCUUUCAGCAGGGAAGAAGCGAAAGUGACGGUACCUGCAGAAGAAGCGCCGGCUAACUACGUGCCAGCAGCCGCGGUAAUACGUAGGGCGCAAGCGUUGUCCGGAAUUAUUGGGCGUAAAGAGCUCGUAGGCGGCUUGUCACGUCGGUUGUGAAAGCCCGGGGCUUAACCCCGGGUCUGCAGUCGAUACGGGCAGGCUAGAGUUCGGUAGGGGAGAUCGGAAUUCCUGGUGUAGCGGUGAAAUGCGCAGAUAUCAGGAGGAACACCGGUGGCGAAGGCGGAUCUCUGGGCCGAUACUGACGCUGAGGAGCGAAAGCGUGGGGAGCGAACAGGAUUAGAUACCCUGGUA